AGGACGAACGCUGGCGGCGCGCCUAACACAUGCAAGUCGAGCGAGAACCAGGGCUUGCCCUGGGGACAGCGGCGAACGGGUGCGUAACACGUGAGCAACCUGCCCCAAAGACCGGGACAACCCGAGGAAACUCGGACUAAUACCGGAUGCCCUCACCGGGUCGCAUGGUCUGGUGAGGAAAUGGAUUCCGCUUUGGGAUGGGCUCGCGGUCUAUCAGCUUGUUGGUGGGGUAACGGCCUACCAAGGCGACGACGGAUAGCUGGUCUGAGAGGACGAUCAGCCACACUGGGACUGAGACACGGCCCAGACUCCUACGGAGGCAGCAGUGGGGAAUCUUGCGCAAUGGGGGAAACCCUGACGCAGCGACGCCGCGUGCGGGAUGAAGGCCCUCGGGUUGUAAACCGCUUUCAGCAGGGACGAAUUGACGGUACCUGCAGAAGAAGGCCCGGCAACUACGCGCCAGCAGCCGC
rnacentral:rRNA from 1 species